GGGGAUGUGGUUCAAUGGUAGAGCGUCUGCCUUGCAUGCAGAAGACUCAGGGUUCGAUCCCCUGCUUCUCCA